GACGAACGCUGGCGGCGUGCCUAAUACAUGCAAGUAGAACGCUGACGGAGGAGCUUGCUCUUCUGGAUGAGUUGCGAACGGGUGAGUAACGCGUAGGUAACCUGCCUGGUAGCGGGGGAUAACUAUUGGAAACGAUAGCUAAUACCGCAUAAGAGUAGAUGUUGCAUGACAUUUACUUAAAAGUUGCAAUUGCAUCACUACCAGAUGGACCUGCGUUGUAUUAGCUAGUUGGUGGGGUAACGGCUUACCAAGGCGACGAUACAUAGCCGACCUGAGAGGGGGAUCGGCCACACCGGGACCUGGACAAGGGCCAGGCUCCUACGGGAGGCAGCAGUAGGGAAUCUUCGGAAAUGGAGGGAAGUCUUGCCGAGCAACGCCGCGGGAGUGAAGAAGGGUCUCGGAUCGUAAAGCUCUGUUGUAAGAGAAGAACGAGUGUGAGAGUGGAAAGUUCACACUGUGACGGUAUCUUACCAGAAAGGGACGGCUAACUACGUG
rnacentral:rRNA from 1 species